AGACAUUUCCUUUUGAAACAUCGUUCUUCUCUCUAACUUACUCGUAAUACCAUCUUUUAUACCGUGCUCGUUAGGUGAUCGAUAAUAACCAGAGAGAGAAAUAGGAAGACAACAUUUUUAAAGGUCAUGACGACGAACCUUCUCGAUUCCGAUGUAGUAUUGUUUUACAAAGCUCGAACGGUGGUAGGGGGCUAGGAAAUAUCUCCCUUCAAAGGAUCCAAAGGUAAGCUGCUUCGUUAAGAGGAUAUAAUCGAUUGCGUUCAGAAGGUUGGUCGAAGAGACGUCCGACGGUACACACAGAUCGUGGGUCAAAGUGGAAUGUUUUCUCUAAUGGGGAAAUAUUCCUUCGUAGAAAAGAAGAUUUCAUUCCGGAAUCUUCUUUCAUUUCAUCUUGUUCCAUCUUCAGAAGGAUGCAACGCAGUCGAGAAGGGAAAAUAAGGAUCUACAAUAACGUUGACCGUGUCUUUGUAUAUCGAACUAAUGUUAAUUUGGAUAGCAAUUGGCUAGAAAAUUAUAUGUACCGUAAUAAUGUUUAUUUCAAUGCCGUUCGGGUGUUUGGGAACGAUAAAGAAAAUCUCACGGCGAUUCUCAAAGAUACCAAAAAGGAAGUUCUGCGAAUCAAUUUUGAAGAAAAUGGUGAUACAGGGGAUGAAGAAGGCGAAGGUGACGAUAUAGGGAUAUACUAAACCAACGGAAGACGAAAGCAGUUCCAAUAGCCUGGAUGUAUUGCAAAGGAGCCGAAUUGACUUAUAUUUGAAUUGUAAUUCCAAAGAAGAACAACGCUCCACCAGAUAAUAUAACAUUGCAUAUCCAAAGUGAAACACAUUUUCAUUGACACUUUCUGUUCUUCCGUACAUCCGACUAUACGUCCUAUAUGGAUAGUACAAAUCAAGCCAGACCAUCAACGAGAUUAAUAUAUGGAAACAUUUUCCUUUUUACAUUUAUGCUUAAAUGGAAAAUCAAUCAAUGCUGUGUUUAUUGAAUGGUAAGAUAUUUUAGACAUAAGAUAAAUUUUUCAUUCUAAAAUGUAAUGUGGACUAUACAAUCUAUAUCGUAUCUAUAUACCUUAUAAUAAUUUAUUGAAUAUCUUCGAAGAUUUUAUACAGUCGAAGAAAGUAUUUUUAUUUACAAGUGAAUUUAUCACAAAUAUUCGAAAUGGUAUUAAACCCAAAUUGGAGUAAUUAUCCGGUAAUUUCUAUAAUAUGGAAAUGUUAUUUUCUAAUAAAUCUUAUGCAAAUAGCUACUGCUAAAUUUUGAAGAAGAUUGAUGGAAUAAUGGAAUGACUAGAGAUAAUGGUGUUUAAACCGUCUUUGUUAUUUGUAAAGCUGUUCUUUCGGAAGUAUGGUAGCUAGGGAUUAUUUCGCGUAUGACACACACUUGCGUAUUA